rnacentral:lncRNA from 1 species
AUUCCCCAAAUUCCCAAAAUUCUGAAUUCCCAAAAUCCCAAAUUCUUCAAAUUCAAAUUCCUGAAAUCCUGAAUUUCCCCAAAAUCCCGAAGUUCCCAAAAUCCCGAAUUCCCCGAAUCGCGUCGACGAGGCCACGCGGGGUCAGGGUUCCCAAAAUUCCCCAAAUUCCCAAAAUUCCUGAAUUCUCAAUCCCCCAAAUCCUGAAAUUCCCAAACCCUGAAAUCCCAAAAUUCCCGAAUUCCUGAAAUUCCCAAAUCCCCGAAUUCCCCAAUUCCUGAUUUCCCCAAAUCUUCCAAUUCCCAAAAUCCUCCCAGAUCCCAAAAUCCCCUUUUUCCCCCCCAUUUUUUUCCCCAAAAUUCCCAUUUUUUCACUGAUUUUCCCAAAAUCCCCAUUUUUCCCCCCAAUUCUGCAGUGAUUUUGCAGACCUGGAGCUCUCAGCAGGACGGGCCCAUCUCAGCUCUGCUGCAGCCCCAAAAUCCCCAAUUCUUCCCCCAUUUUUCCCCCAAUUUUUCCCAAAAUUCCAUUUUUUUUCCCAAAAUUGCCAUUUUUUUCACUGAUUUUCCCAAACUCCCCGUUUUUCACCCCAAUUCUGCAGUGAUUUUACAAACCUGGAGCUGCCAGCAGAACGGGGCUGUGCUGCAGCCCCAAAAUCCCCAUUUUUCCCCCAUUUUUUCCCCAUUUUUUCCCAAAAUUCCAUUUUUUUCCCCCAAAUUCCAUUUUUUUCUCCAUUUUGCCCAAAAUCGCCGUUUUUCCCCCCAAUUCUGCAGUGAUUUUGCAGACCUGGAGCACUCAGCAGGACGGGCCCAUCUCGGCCGUGCUGCUCUUCCAGCUGCCCCUGGAGGAACCCGAGGAUCCCGAGGACUCCUGGAGCCUCCUGGUGAGCAGCACCCUGGAGAGCGCCGUGGUUUAUCGGAGCUGCUCUGUUACAAAUAUUUCGGGUCCAAUUCUGGGGAUUUUGGUCAAUUCCGGCCUCUCUGGGCCCGGCGUUUCCCCUCCCCCCUGCUGGCUCUGGAGCCGCUGGACCUGACGGGGGAUGGGCUGCAGGAGCUCGGCUGUCGUCUGCCUGGGGGGCUCCACGUGCUCCAGGUACCCCCAAAAAACCCCAAAUCCCCAAAAUUCCCCCUUUUUCCCCCUUUUCCCCAAAAAAAAUUGGGAGUUUUUCCCAAAAAAUUUGAAUUUUUUCCCCCAAAAUUCUCAUUUUUUCCUAAAAAUUCAAAGAUUUUCCCCAAAAAUUUGGAGUUUUUUCCAGAAAAAUUCAGUUUUUCCCCAAAUCCCCAAAGUUCUCCCAAGUUUCUCCCCUGAAUCCCCAAAAUUCACCCAAAAUUUCCUCCAAAAUUUCCCCAAAAUUCCCCAAAUUCUCCCCAAACUGGACCUGACGGGGGAUGGGCUGCAGGAGCCGUCGUCUGCCUGGGGGGGCUCCACGUGCUCCAGGUACCCCCAAAAACCCCAAAAACCCCAAAAUCCC